GACGAACCGUGCGAACGUUGUUCGGAUUCACUGGGCUUAAAGGGUGCGUAGGCGGGCCAUCAAGUCUGGGGUGAAAUCUUUCGGCUUAACCGGAAAAUUGCCUGGGAUACUGGUGGUCUGGAGGGUGGUAGGGGCAGGUGGAACUUCCGGUGGAGCGGUGAAAUGCGUUGAUAUCGGAAGGAACGCCGGUGGCGAAAGCGACCUGCUGGACCACUACUGACGCUGAGGCGCGAAAGCCAGGGGAGCAAACGGG
rnacentral:rRNA from 1 species